ensembl:lncRNA
CAACAAACAACAUGGAGCUGCAGUUAGUUUCAGAAUGGGUGGCAAGGAAUAAGUUGGUCCUAAAUAUUUACAAAAACUUAAAAGCAUUUUUAUUUUGGACAAAUCAUUCACUAAACCCUUAAACCUCAACUACCUCUCGUAAUGAGUCAUGAGUCAUGAGUGAUGAGUGAUGAGUCAUGUGGAAAUUGAGCAAGUUGAGCUGACUAAACUGCUUGUAGCAGGGGCGUGAAACUGAAACAGUAAUUCAGGCCACUUUAAUAAUGUUUACAUAUCUUACAUUACUCCUCUAUCACAUGUAUCACAUGAUAUAAACUGCAUUUUAUACCACCGUCAGCCUGUUGAGGAAGAGUCAUAGCAUAGCAGAGUAACCAGGAAGUAAUUACCACUAGGAAACCAGUCGGCGGCGCAGUAACUCACUGCUCUCUGACAUCUUGUCAAUGAUAUCAUCUUUGUCAAGUCAGGAAGUAAUUACCACUGGUAACAAUAUGAUUGUCGGCCAUGUUUUCCCGAGUUAUAUGCAGAUUCGUGUGUCUCGUGUCCUCUGUAGCUGAGCCCACAUUUACCAACAACUUUAACAACAUCCAUCACACGUUCCGUGACCUGCCUGCCUCCUCUUUCUGACCUGGUCUCGUUGAACUGACAUUAUCACUCAGAAGGGUACGGAUGUCUGCUCUGCUCUGAAAAAGGCUUCUGCACUUUCUCUAUGGGUCUUCUCUCAUGUUCCUGUCCUCUCUGAUGGGCGUGUUUCCAGACCUCCUUUCUCUAUGGGUCUUCUCUCAUGUUCCUGUCUCUGAUGGGCGUGUUUCCAGACCUCCUUUCUCUAUGGGUCUUCUCUCAUGUUCCUGUCCUCUCUGAUGGGCGUGUUUCCAGGCCUCCUUUGACAAAUGCACUACCACUGGCUGAAGGUUUUGUGAAUGACAAGACAUACUGAGCAGAACAAGGAGUGAGUUACUUCAUUCUAGGUCGGCCAUUUUCUGUUUGUGACAUCUUUGGAGUGGAACACGUUGGAAUGACUCCUUUGAGGGGUUUGUUUUGGGUGGAAAAAUACAUCAAAAUCCUUGGACUGAGGACGGGCAGAAUAAUCAAAUGGAUUUACAGUGUCCCUUUCCACUUUCCCUGUACUGGGCUUUGAACCUCCCCCCCUCUCUCUCUCUCUGUCUCUCUCUACCUCUCUCUACCUCUCUCUCUCUCUGUCUCUCUCUACCUCUCUCUACCUCUCUCUCUGUCUGUCUCUCUCUCUCUGUCUCUCUCUACCUCUCUCUGUCUCUCUCUACCUCUCUCUACCUCUCUCUCUGUCUGUCUCUCUCUACCUCUCUCUACCUCUCUCU